rnacentral:misc_RNA from 1 species
GAACGCACCUUGCGCCCCUUGGUAUUCCGGGGGGCAUGCCUGUUCGAGCGUCAUUAUAACCCUCAAGCCUAGCUUGGUGUUGGAGCAUGCUACCUAGCAGCUCUUAAAAUCAGUGGCAGUGCCCUUCGGCUCUAAGCGUAGUAACUUCUCUCGCUAUGGAAACCGGAUGGUACGCGCCAAAACCCCCAACUUUCUAUGGUUGACCUCGGAUCAGGUAGGGAUACCCGCUGAACUUAAG